AUUGAACGCUGGCGGCAGGCUUAACACAUGCAAGUCGAGCGGGGUGAUGGUGCUUGCACUAUCACUUAGCGGCGGACGGGUGAGUAAUGCUUAGGAAUCUGCCUAUUAGUGGGGGACAACAUCUCGAAAGGGAUGCUAAUACCGCAUACGUCCUACGGGUGAAAGCAGGGGAUCACUUGUGACCUUGCGCUAAUAGAUGAGCCUAAGUCGGAUUAGCUAGUUGGUGGGGUAAAGGCCUACCAAGGCGACGAUCUGUAGCGGGUCUGAGAGGAUGAUCCGCCACACUGGGGCUGAGGCACGGCCCAGACUCCUACGGGAGGCAGCGGUGGGGGAUAUUGGACAAUGGGGGGAACCCUGAUACAGCCAUGCCGCGUGUGUGAAGAUGGCCUUAUGGUUGUAAAGCACUUUAAGCGAGGAGGAGGCUCUUUUGGUUAAUACCCAAGAUGAGUGGACGUUACUCGCAGAAUAAGCACCGGCUAACUCUGUGCCAGCAGCCGCCGCGG
rnacentral:rRNA from 1 species